ACCAAUCACAAGUGGGGAACAGCCAGUCAUAAGCACAGAACAACCAAUUCCAAGCAUAGAACAACAAAAACAGGAGCAUAACAACCAACCACAAGCAGGGAACAACCAAUCACAAGUGCAAAACAACUAACCACAAGCAUGGAACAACCCACCACAAAUGGGGAACAAUCAACCAUAAGUGCAGAACAAUCAACCACAAACAUGGAACAAUCAACCAAAAGCAGGGAAGGAUGAAACGCAAACAUGGAAGAACCAACCACAAGUGGGAUCAACCAACUACAAGCAGGAAACAACCAAUGACAAGCACAGAAUAACCAACCACAAGUUGGUAACAACCAAUCACAAGUAUGAAAUAGCCAACUACAAGCAUGGAAAAACAAACCACAAGUGCAGAACAACCAACCACAAGUGAGGAACAACCACUCACAAGCAGGGAAUAACUAACCACAAGCAUGGAACAACCAGCCAUGAGCGGGGAACAACCAAUUACAAGGAGGAACCUACCAACCUGAAGCACAGAACAACCAACCGUAAAUAUGGAACAACCAAACACAAGCAGGGAACAACCAAUCACAAGCAGGGAACAACCAACCACAAGCACAGAACAACCAACCACAAGUGGGAACCGCUGAUAACAAGUGGAGAACAACCAUCCACAAAGGCAGAACCACUAUCCACAAGCACUCAGGACAGGAAGGAGAGGAUGAUCACCUGUCAAUACAAGUGCAGAGACACUGACAAGAAGACAGCCAAGCAAAUAGAGAUGUCCCUGCAAGCACAUGCAGCCACAAGAUCUUCUGAAGCAUCCAUCACUAGUUCAACAAAGCACAAGAGAAGUGAAUCAAAAUACCAGAUGGAAUUAGCUGGAGCAGAACCAAGAGACCUCGGAGACCUCCGCCGAUCCAAGUAAUGCACUGUGUAUAGAGAGCCCUGGAGAGCCUACAACUAUCUGCUGCAUCUCCAGAGGAGCCUGUGGAGAGAUGGCCAACCACGUAGAGACCAAAUGUUACACCAAUAGGCUACACAGAUUGCAAUUAUUAUUAACAUAAGAUCAACAAGAUAUGAAAAGAUGUGUGUGUCGCUGUAAGUUCUCUGACGGUAGGGAUGGAAGGGAGAGGCAGGUGUGUCAGAGGGGUGGGAGAUAGAGUCCUGCAGGGUCAGGGGCUGGACCAGCAGGUCCACAGUUAGCCAGACAGUGGGAGAUAAGGACUGGGUCAAGAUUGAAAACUGAAGACAAAUUUCCUCCUUAAACUCUUUAUUUGACUGGCAGGAGGGAAGGAACUUGGUGUUUACAUGAGUGUG
rnacentral:lncRNA from 1 species